rnacentral:rRNA from 1 species
CUGCGAAUGGCUCAUUAUAUAAGUUAUCGUUUAUUUGAUAGUACCUUACUACUUGGAUAACCGUGGUAAUUCUAGAGCUAAUACAUGCUAAAAAUCCCGACUUCGGAAGGGAUGUAUUUAUUAGAUUAAAAACCAAUGCCCUCUGGGCUCCUUGGUGAUUCAUGAUAACUCUUCGAAUCGCACGGCCUUGCGCCGGCGAUGGUUCAUUCAAAUUUCUUCCCUAUCAACUUUCGAUGUUUGGGUAUUGGCCAAACAUGGUUGCAACGGGUAACGGAGGGUUAGGGCUCGACCCCGGAGAAGGAGCCUGAGAAACGGCUACUACAUCCAAGGAAGGCAGCAGGCGCGCAAAUUACCCAAUCCCGAUUCGGGGAGGUAGUGACAAUAAAUACUGAUACAGGGCUCUUUUGGGUCUUGUAAUUGGAAUGAGUACAAUUUAAAUCUCUUAACGAGGAACAAUUGGAGGGCAAGUCUGGUGCCAGCAGCCGCGGUAAUUCCAGCUCCAAUAGCGUAUAUUAAAGUUGUUGUGGUUAAAAAGCUCGUAGUUGAACCUUGGGCCUGGCUGGCCGGUCCGCCUCACCGCGUGCACUGGUCCGGCCGGGCCUUUCCCUCUGUGGAACCCCAUGCCCUUCACUGGGCGUGGCGGGGAAACAGGACGUUUACUUUGAAAAAAUUAGAGUGCUCCAGGCAGGCCUAUGCUCGAAUACAUUAGCAUGGAAUAAUGAAAUAGGACGCGUGGUUCUAUUUUGUUGGUUUCUAGGACCGCCGUAAUGAUUAAUAGGGACAGUCGGGGGCAUCAGUAUUCAAUUGUCAGAGGUGAAAUUCUUGGAUUUAUUGAAGACUAACUACUGCGAAAGCAUUUGCCAAGGAUGUUUUCAUUAAUCAGGAACGAAAGUUAGGGGAUCGAAGACGAUCAGAUACCGUCGUAGUCUUAACCAUAAACUAUGCCGACUAGGGAUCGGACGAUGUUAUUUUUUGACGCGUUCGGCACCUUACGAGAAAUCAAAGUGCUUGGGCUCCAG